AAUGAACGCUGGCGGCAGGCCUAACACAUGCAAGUCGAACGGAUCCUUCGGGAUUAGUGGCGGACGGGUGAGUAACGCGUGGGAACAUACCCUUUGGUAUGGAAUAGCCUCGGGAAACUGGGAGUAAUACCGUAUGUGGUCGAGAGACGAAAGAUUUAUCGCCAAAGGAUUGGCCCGCGUGGGAUUAGGUAGUUGGUGGGGUAAUGGCCUACCAAGACGACGAUCCAUAGCUGGUUUGAGAGGAUGAUCAGCCACACUGGGACUGAGACACGGCCCAGACUCCUACGGGAGGCAGCAGUGGGGAAUCUUAGACAAUGGGGGAAACCCUGAUCUAGCCAUGCCGCGUGAUCGAUGAAGGCCUUAGGGUUGUAAAGAUCUUUCAGGUGGGAAGAUAAUGACUGUACCACCAGAAGAAGCCCCGGCUAACUCCGUGCCAGCAGCCGCCGUAAGAC
rnacentral:rRNA from 1 species